rnacentral:misc_RNA from 1 species
GAUGAAGAACGUAGCGAAAUGCGAUAAGUAAUGUGAAUUGCAGAAUUCAGUGAAUCAUCGAAUCUUUGAACGCAUCUUGCGCUCCUUGGUAUUCCGAGGAGCAUGCUUGUUUGAGUAUCAGUAAACACCUCAAAGCUUUUGGAUUUUUUAAUCGAAAAGCUUUGGACUUGAGCAAUCCCAACACCAAUCUUUUUGAGAUCGGUGGCGGGUUGCUUGAAAUGCAGGUGCAGCUGGACAUUCUCCUGAGCUAAAAGCAUAUUCAUUUAGUCCCGUCAAACGGAUUAUUACUUUUGCUGCAGCUAACAUAAAGGGAGUUUGACCGUAUUGGCUGACUGAUGCAGGAUUUCACAAGGGUCGGCAACGAUUCUUGUUAAACUCGAUCUCAAAUCAAGUAAGACUACCCGCUGAACUUAAGCAUAUCAAUAAGCGGAGGA